CCUACGGGUGGCAGCAGUGAGGAAUAUUGGUCAAUGGGCGAGAUCCUGAACCAGCCACGUAGCGUGAAGGAUGACUGCCCUAUGGGUUGUAAACUUCUUUUAUAUAGGAAUUAAUUACUCUAUGUAUCGUAUUUUGUAUGUCUCAUAUGAAUAAGGCUCGGCUAACUCCGUGCCAGCAGCAGCGGUAAUACGGAGGAUCCGAGCGUUAGCCGGAUUUAUUGGGGUUAAAGAGGGCGUAGGUGGAUUGUUAAGUCAGUUGUGAAAGUUUACGGCUUAACCGUAAAAUUGCAGUUGAAACUGGUAGUCUUGAGUAUAGUAGAGGUAGGUGGAAUUCGUGGUGUAGCGGUGAAAUGCUUAGAGAUCACGAAGAAUUCUGAUUGCGAAGGCAGCCUACUGGA
rnacentral:rRNA from 1 species